UUACGAUGAUUGAAAAGCAUCUAGCUAGCUACCAUGUGGACGUCGCUUUGUACCGACAGUAAUAUUGCAUUAUAAAAUCCUACUGCUUUCUUCAACAAUUCGCCACAGCAACAUUCCACAGCUCGACAAAGUAAGAAUCAACUCCCAAAUAGUCUCUCCGCAACUGCACUGCAACAACCAAUUGAAGAUGCACCGCCCCGGCCAUCAUGACCAUGGACCUGGCGGCGGUCCAGGAGGACCAGGUGGACCAGGCGGCGGUCCGGGAGGACCAGGUGGACCAGGUUCCCAUGGGCCUCCAGGCGGCGGUCUAGGAGGACCGGGAGGACCAGGCGGGGGUCCAGGAGGACCGGGAGGACCAGGCGGGGGGCCAGGAGGACCGGGAGGACCAGGAGGCGGUGGUCCAGGAGGACCGGGCGGCGGUUGGGGAGGUCCAGGAGGCGGUGGUCCAGGAGGACCGGGAGGCGGUUGGGGAGGACCAGGAGGCGGUGGUCCAGGAGGACCUGGCGGCGGUGGUCCAGGAGGCCCGGGAGGCGGUGGUCCAGGACGCCCGGGCGGCGGUGGUCCAGGAGGCCCGGGCGGCGGUGGUCCAGGAGGCGGUGGCUCAGGAGGUCCAGGGGGACAUGGUCGCUUCUGAUGGGCAACAAGACUUGUGGUGUACUAGUAGCACGUAGUCUAUAUAUGAUGAUAUAAUUAAGUUGAUGAUGAGCGUAAUUAGCUAAUAAUGAUGAUGUUGUGCUUGUUAUUAAUUUGUAGUUAGUUUUGGUAAUCAUGUUGGGUGAGAUCCUUCCAUUCCCCGGCCAUCUCCCAGUAGCUCAGUUCAGCUAGCUGGAGAAGAUAAAGGCGGUUCAUGUCAUACUAGUACUACUGUAUGAUGCAUGUAAUAUUUAACAAUAAAAUUAUUAUGAUAUGAUUAUGUUGCCCUUCUAUUCUUUAUAUUUGCGUCUGUGAGACACUGAGAGAUUUCUCUUUUAUUAUACUACCGAUAGAUAUGUUUAUCUUUAUUCUUCAUAGUUAUAUAUAUAUAUUAC
rnacentral:lncRNA from 1 species